AUGGUUAAGUUAGAAAGGGCGCACGGUGAAUGCCUUGGUACUAGGAGCCGAUGAAGGACGGGACUAACACCGAUAUGCUUCGGGGAGCUGUAAGUGAGCUUUGAUCCGGAGAUUUCCGAAUGGGGAAACCCACUGUUCGUAAUGGAACAGUAUCUUUAUCUGAAUACAUAGGAUAUUGAAGGCAGACCCGGGGAACUGAAACAUCUAAGUACCCGGAGGAAGAGAAAGCAAAUGCGAUUUCCUGAGUAGCGGCGAGCGAAACGGAAUUAGCCCAAACCAAGAGGCUUGCCUCUUGGGGUUGUAGGACACUCUAUACGGAGUUACAAAGGAACGAAGUAAAUGAAGCGACCUGGAAAGGUCCGUCGAAGAAGGUAACAACCCUGUAGUUGAAACUUCGUUCCCUCUUGAGUGGAUCCUGAGUACGGCGGAACACGUGAAAUUCCGUCGGAAGCUGGGAGGACCAUCUCCCAAGGCUAAAUACUACCUAGUGACCGAUAGUGAACCAGUACCGUGAGGGAAAGGUGAAAAGCACCCCGGAAGGGGAGUGAAAGAGAUCCUGAAACCGUGUGCCUACAAGUAGUCAGAGCCCGUUAACGGGUGAUGGCGUGCCUUUUGUAGAAUGAACCGGCGAGUUACGAUCCCAUGCAAGGUUAAGCUGAUAAGGCGGAGCCGUAGCGAAAGCGAGUCUGAAUAGGGCGUUUAGUAUGUGGUUGUAGACCCGAAACCAGGUGAUCUACCCAUGUCCAGGGUGAAGUUCAGGUAACACUGAAUGGAGGCCCGAACCCACGCACGUUGAAAAGUGCGGGGAUGAGGUGUGGGUAGCGGAGAAAUUCCAAUCGAACCUGGAGAUAGCUGGUUCUCUCCGAAAUAGCUUUAGGGCUAGCCUCAUGUUGUGAGAGUCUUGGAGGUAGAGCACUGAUUGGACUAGGGGCCCCCAACGGGUUACCGAAUUCAGUCAAACUCCGAAUGCCAAAGACUUAUCCAUGGGAGUCAGACUGCGAGUGAUAAGAUCCGUAGUCAAAAGGGAAACAGCCCAGACCACCAGCUAAGGUCCCCAAGUAUACGUUAAGUGGAAAAGGAUGUGGAGUUGCUUAGACAACCAGGAUGUUGGCUUAGAAGCGUACCACCAUUUAAAGAGUGCGUAAUAGCUCACUGGUCGAGUGACUCUGCGCCGAAAAUGUACCGGGGCUAAACGUAUCACCGAAGCUGUGGAUUGACAUCUUAGAUGUCAGUGGUAGGAGAGCGUUCUAAGUGCUGUGAAGUCAGACCGUAAGGACUGGUGGAGCGCUUAGAAGUGAGAAUGCCGGUAUGAGUAGCGAAAGACAAGUGAGAAUCUUGUCCACCGAAUGCCUAAGGUUUCCUGAGGAAGGCUCGUCCGCUCAGGGUUAGUCGGGACCUAAGCCGAGGCUGAAAAGCGUAGGCGAUGGCCAACAGGUUGAUAUUCCUGUACCACCUCCCCGCCGUUUGAGUAAUGGGGGGACGCAGUAGGAUAGGGUAAGCGCGGCCGCUGGAUAUGCGCGUUCAAGCAGUUAGGCUGAUGAGUAGGCAAAUCCGCUCAUCAUAAAGGCUGAGCUGUGAUGACGAGGGAAUUAUAGUACCGAAGUUCCUGAUUCCACACUGCCAAGAAAAGCCUCUAGCGAGGCGGGAGGUGCCCGUACCGCAAACCGACACAGGUAGGCGAGGAGAGAAUCCUAAGGUGAUCGAGAGAACUCUCGUUAAGGAACUCGGCAAAAUGACCCCGUAACUUCGGGAGAAGGGGUGCUCUGGUAGGGUGUAUAGCCCGAGAGAGCCGCAGUGAAUAGGCCCAGGCGACUGUUUAGCAAAAACACAGGUCUCUGCGAAGCCGCAAGGCGAAGUAUAGGGGCUGACGCCUGCCCGGUGCUGGAAGGUUAAGAGGAGGGGUUAUCCUUUGGGAGAAGCUCUGAAUCGAAGCCCCAGUAAACGGCGGCCGUAACUAUAACGGUCCUAAGGUAGCGAAAUUCCUUGUCGGGUAAGUUCCGACCCGCACGAAAGGCGUAACGAUCUGGGCACUGUCUCAACGAGAGACUCGGUGAAAUUAUAGUACCUGUGAAGAUGCAGGUUACCCGCGACAGGACGGAAAGACCCCGUGGAGCUUUACUGUAGCCUGAUAUUGAAUUUUGGUACAGCUUGUACAGGAUAGGUAGGAGCCUGAGAAGCCGGAGCGCUAGCUUCGGUGGAGGCGUCGGUGGGAUACUACCCUGGCUGUAUUGAAAUUCUAACCCGCGGCCCUGAUCGGGCCGGGAGACAGUGUCAGGUGGGCAGUUUGACUGGGGCGGUCGCCUCCUAAAAUGUAACGGAGGCGCCCAAAGGUUCCCUCAGAAUGGUUGGAAAUCAUUCGUAGAGUGUAAAGGCACAAGGGAGCUUGACUGCGAGACCUACAAGUCGAGCAGGGACGAAAGUCGGGCUUAGUGAUCCGGUGGUUCCGCAUGGAAGGGCCAUCGCUCAACGGAUAAAAGCUACCCCGGGGAUAACAGGCUUAUCUCCCCCAAGAGUCCACAUCGACGGGGAGGUUUGGCACCUCGAUGUCGGCUCAUCGCAUCCUGGGGCUGUAGUCGGUCCCAAGGGUUGGGCUGUUCGCCCAUUAAAGCGGUACGCGAGCUGGGUUCAGAACGUCGUGAGACAGUUCGGUCCCUAUCCGUCGUGGGCGUAGGAAAUUUGAGAGGAGCUGUCCUUAGUACGAGAGGACCGGGAUGGACACACCGCUGGUGUACCAGUUGUCUUGCCAAAGGCAUCGCUGGGUAGCUAUGUGUGGACGGGAUAAGUGCUGAAAGCAUCUAAGCAUGAAGCCCCCCUCAAGAUGAGAUUUCCCAUAGCGCAAGCUAGUAAGAUCCCUGAAAGAUGAUCAGGUUGAUAGGUCAGAGGUGGAAGCGUGGCGACAUGUGUAGCUGACUGAUACUAAUCGAUCGAGGACUUAACCAAAC
rnacentral:rRNA from 1 species